UGGCGAAGGUAGUAGUGAUGAUGGCUGGCGAAGGUAGUAGUGAUGAUGGCUGGCGAAGGUAGUAGUGAUGAUGGCUGGCGAAGGUAGUAGUGAUGAUGGCUGGCGAAGGUAGUAGUGAUGAUGGCUGGCGAAGGUAGUAGUGAUGAUGGCUGGCGAAGGUAGUAGUGAUGAUGGCUGGCGAAGGUAGUAGUGAUGAUGGCUGGCGAAGGUAGUAGUGAUGAUGGCUGGCGAAGGUAGUAGUGAUGAUGGCUGGCGAAGGUAGUAGUGAUGAUGGCUGGCGAAGGUAGUAGUGAUGAUGGCUGGCAGACUACGUGACAUGCCCUGACCCACAUUUUCUUUUCUUUUUUCUUUCCAUCACAAAAUCAAAUGAG